CCUACGGGUGACAGCAGUGAGGAAUAUUGGUCAAUGGACGAGAGGCUGAACCAGCCAAGUAGCGUGAAGGAUGACUGCCCUAUGGGUUGUAAACUUCUUUUAUAUGGGAAUAAAAUGUUCCACGUGUGGGAGUUUGUAUGUACCAUAUGAAUAAGGAUCGGCUAACUCCGUGCCAGCAGCCGCGGUAAUACGGAGGAUCCGAGCGUUAUCCGGAUUUGUUGGGUUUAAAGGGAGCGUAGGUGGAUUGUUAAGUCAGUUGUGAAAGUUUGCGGCUCAACCGUAAAAUUGCCGUUGAAACUGGCAGUCUUGAGUACAGUAGAGGUGGGCGGAAUUCGUGGUGUAGCGGUGAAAUGCUUAGAUAUCACGAAGAACUCCGAUUGCGAAGGCAGCUCACUGGACUGCAACUGACACUGAGGCUCGAAAGUGUGGGUAUCAAACAGGAUUAGAUACCCUAGUAGUC
rnacentral:rRNA from 1 species